rnacentral:lncRNA from 1 species
UUUUUUUUUUUUUUUUGUCCUUUUGCCUUUUCUAGGGCCGCACCCAUGGCCUAUAGAGGUUCCCAGGCUAGGGGUGCAAUCGGAGCUGUAGCCACCAGCCUACGCCAGAGCCACAGCAAUGAGGGAUCCGAGCCAUGUCUGCAACCUACACCACAGCUCAUUGCAAUGCCAGAUCCUUAACCCACUGAGCAAGGGCAGGGAUCGAACCCGCAACCUCAUGGCUCUUAGUCGGAUUCGUUAACCACUGCGCCACGACGGGAACUCCAUGACCAGUAUUUUAAAAUAAGGGUUAGUGGGAUAUAUGAGUACAAGGGUUAAUAUGAAUAUAUAUAAUAUUCCUGUCUGUCUGUCCAUCACUCUAGAGGCUCCUGUCCCACAUCCCUGGAACACUGGCUCCCUGCUGGAUAAGCCACUCUUCAUGCCCCUGUCUAGGUCUUGAAAGCUGAGCAUCUCGGGGUACACCAGGAGGUGUGGACAGGGAGCCUGGGGACUCACAGGAGAGGUGACAAUAGUGAUUCCGUCACUUGGUCGGGGAGGUUAGUAUAUUCCAGGCACGAUUCUUAUCCUUAAUGACUCUUGUCUAAAUUAAUUCUUGUCACAAACUUACAUUCUUAUUGUCCUGACUUCACAGCCGAGGAAUCUGAGACUCAGAGAGGACUGGAGGCAAACUCCCAGUGGGGUCCGGGGCACAGAAAGCGUGGGGCAGCUCUGGGCCCCUCAGGGAGGCAGGAGGUCUGGUCGUGCCCCUGGGAGAGCACAGCCAUUCCCUCCGUAACACAGUCUGAGGACGGGGGAUGGAAGAGGCCUGAGGACCUGGGAUGAGCCGAAUUGUGCCCCAACCCCCGCAAAAAAAUUCGCGUUAGAGCCUAAGCCUAGUAACUCACAAUGUAGUUGGGAGAUAAGGCCUGUAAGGAAAUAAUUAAGGCAAAAUGAGGUCAUUAGGAAGAGAUGCGGACACAGACACGCACAGGGGAAGGUCACCGGCAGACACAUGGCCACCAGGGGGCUUUCUUGGAGGGAGGCUGCUGGCUUGCUGGGGUGGGAGUAGGGCUGCCUGUGAGAGAAGCCUAGGGGUGAUGUGGGGGGCGCGAGGAGCAAGUUGAAGGGGGCCCAAGGCGGCCCUUGCCUAGUGGUAGGAGGAAGCUAGACGGUGAAGGGCCUGGAGCACCAGGCUUCAUGUUGGGGACAUGGCUGAGAUCGUCAGUGUCGGAAAAAAAAUGAGACACAUGAACACGGGGAGAUCUCAACAAGGCUCUUUACUUCUGCAGAAGGACGCGGGUGCUCCAAAAAGCGUGGGCACCGAACAAAGGACCCCCCUCCCCCAUUUAUCCCUAAGGCAGGUGAUGGACCUGUCCCCUUCCCAUUGGUCAGGUCAGGGCGCACAUUCUUCCUGGUUGGCUCAUUUGAAACAAAUGGUUACUGGGAGAAGAGGGAAUGAGGAGGGGGUGGUGUCGCAGGAAGGCGAAUAGGAGCAAAAUGGAGUCACCAAGAUUUCCUUUGAGAGAAAAGACAUUAUGUGGCUUUCCACUCAGGAUCUGGAUUGGGUUUCCUAAGCCAGAGGGAGCAAAGGGGUGAUCAAAUAACAUGAGAAUUUUAGACAGAGGUCUGGGAGCAGGUUGGGUUGGCCGGGGAGCAUCUGAAGGUCGGGAUCAGCUGAAAGGGGCUGCAGUUGUCUGAGAUGAGAGUUUUAAGGGUCUGAAUGACCGUGGAGAGGGAAUGGGGUCAGAAGCAGACCCCCAAAAAGGCACAGCUCAGAGGUGACUUGGAGGCCCCCCAAGAGUGACCACAUGGCACUGCCUGAGACAUAAGAGAUGGCAUGACCAGAGUGUGGGGAGAGCCAGGGUCAGAGAAGAAGGAAGACGUGCAUCAGAUAUGAAACCCUUAGUGGCACCUGUCUGUUGCUGUGCUUGGUGGGUGUAAAAGUACAGCUUUGCUUUCCAGUGUUGAAAAUCAGACAGUACUUUGAGGUGUAAAUUUGUCCUUCCGACAUGGCACCCUUCUUAUCCGAACUGGAAGAGGAGCUGGGUGAGCAGCUCAUCUGGGGGCCCAACUGAAAAGGGGAAAUUUAACACAUCAUCAGGCCUUUGAGAAAGAAAUAAAAGGUACCUGUUGAUUCGUACAACCUUAAAAAGCCGUAGGAGCUGUGGCAUGCUCCUGCCCGGAGGUGGUUUAGAAUAGGUUCUUUACUGGAGCUUUUCCCCAAAAAAAAAAAACAGUAGAAAAUAAGAAAAUCCCAGUGGGAGAGGAGGAAGAGAGACACAGGGAGCAUGGGGCAGAGUGGAGAACCUCCCCAAACGGUAGGAGGAAGGUUCUGCCCCUGGAUGGAGACACACCGCCCCCAACCCCGCCACCCCGAGUGAGGGACUUAGGGCCAAAGGCAUUAGCAUUAGUUCUUUGUGACACAGCAGCCACAGGUAUCCUGAGAGCAGCUUCCGGGUGACAAAAGUGUCACUCCUGGCAGGAGAAGGAAAAUGCAAAGGGCCAUUCUGACCACCAGUGACACAAAUGUGCUGGAGUUGUUUUUUCCAACACAACAUAAAGCUGGCGAUUGAAACAGAAUCCAAGCAGUAGGUGAGCUCCAGGUUUUGAGUUGACAUCUCAGUGGGCGUGGGGUCCCCAUGCAAGCCUCUGCACUCUGGCCAUGUCCCCACUCUGUUCCCUUAGCUGACUCUGCUUGGGCAUUUGUCUCUCAGGCACAUUUCUGGAGGUGCAUGUGUGACCUGGCUGCAGCUGGGCCCUUUUGUCCCUGUACAGAGCCACCACCCCUACCUUCUUGAAUCUCUGCUUGAAACUCCAGCUCUAAUCAGCAGUGCAGGUACCACGUGUCCCUGGAAAUCUGAAUUUCAAACCUCUUACAAGAUGGUCAGAAGGGCCCAUUACAGUGGUGCCUCUCCAUCUGGACUGUAGUCUGGGCUGAGAACACGUUCUCCCUACAGAGCAGGGGCUGAAAUCACAGGUGCCAGGGUCACUUGGCCACACUGACCUCAAACGAGUGUGGUGCCCCAAGUCCCUGUCCCUGGGUUGUGACGGCUUGAAAAAACUUCCUUAGCAUGGAGUCCUGGCUUCCCCCAGAUAAGUCAGCCUCCAGUGCUGGGCCCAAUCAUGCCCUGCUGGUCACGCGUGUGGGCAUCCAGUGAGAGCUGAGUGAGGCCAGGAAGGCCAGUGUCUUUUGUGAACUGGCAGCAGCCCCCAGGGAAUGGGCCCAGGGAUAGGAGUUCUGCUGGACCAAACGCUUGGCAAGCUGCAGUUUGAGUAAGCUCCAGCUUGCACGGUGAAGUAGAUGCAUUUUCUCCAGGGCUCUGUGCAGGCUCUGAAAACUGAGGGCUUGGCCCAGAAACCCCAGAACUCUGGGCUUACACAGCAGCCAUGAAGAGGUAGCUCUCCCCUGAAACAUCUUGCAGGUAAAAAGAGCAUCACCCCAACAGAAAAGCCUGAGGAGCGGGCCUUAAACUCCUUAUAUUUAUGGGUUAGGGCAAAGUCUGGCACAUAUAAUAGUAUGAAAAAAGCAACUUGUGAUACAUGGUUCCUUUUAUGUAAAAUUAGUUACUUUCAUUCAUAUCUAGAUACACAUGGUUACAGGGGUCAGCCUGGAACCACAUUCACCAAACCAGAAGGGACAAAUUGUGUUGUCUGUGUCCCAGAACUUCCGAUGUUGUCACCUCACUAGCAGGUUCUUCCCCUGUCUGAUUACACCUGUGAUACAGAUAUAUAUAUAGAAAUGGGCUCUUUUGAUGGAAAACAGUCCACUCCUGUCCCAAGGAAAAAUAUCUAUAAAAUCAUAGCUUUUAUGUGAUAUAGUUUUUCUAUUAUACAUUAAAUUAUAUUUGCUAUUUAAAAUAAAAACUGUUCAUCUGUGUGUCACCUACAAAUUUUUCAAUGGCAAAGUGAUUGAGCACUUCAGCUGCAGAGUCCAACUGCCUGAAUUUGAAUUCUGGCUCUGCCAUUUACUGCUGGCCGUUUAUUACUCAAUAAAUUCUUAACUUCUUUAAAUCUCAUUUUAUUCUCUUUAUAUGCCCCUGAAAGGAUUUUGAAGUGAUGUAAUCAAUGAAAAAAUGAUUAAUGUCGUUCCUGGCACAGAACAACCGUGCAAAUAAAUGUGAUGUUGAAAAUUGGCUGUAGAUUCUUCUGCUUGUAGUCAAGCUGAAGUGUAAUGAGGACUAGAUUUGCUCUCCCACCGAGAACAAGUAGGGAGCUGGAUAAACUAGGAAACCACUAUUAUAAGACAGUGGAAAACAGAAAAUGCAGGACAGGGAUUCAGGCCAGAAAGGGAACAAGGGAGGUGAGCCCUAAAGUCACCCCAGCUUUCCCCCAAAGAUACUGUUUUUAAAAAUGUGUUUUUAUUGAAGCAUCCUUGAUUGACAAUGUUGUGUUGAUUUAUGCUGAACAGCAAAGUGGUUCAGUUCUGCCUGUACGGAUAUUGAUUCUUCUUCAUGUUCUUUUUCCAUUACGGUUUACUACAGGGUACUGAAUAGAGUUCCCUGUGCUAUACAGUGGGACCUUGUUAUUCAUUCUAUAUGUAAUAGUUUGUAUCUGCUAAUCCCAAACUCCCACGCUAUCCCCCCAUCCCGCCUCCCCCUUGGCAAACCACAAGUCCUUUCUCUAUGUCUGUGAGUCUGUUUCUGUUUCGUAGAUCAGACCAUGGGUGUCAUAUUUUUGAUUCUCUAUAUAUUGUGUGGUAUUAGUCUUUCUCUUUCUGAUUGAUUUUAUUCACUAUGAUAAUCUCUAGGUUCAUCCAUAUUGCUACAAAUGGCAUAAUUUCAUUUUUAUGGCUGAGUAGCAUUCCAUUGUAUGUGUGUGUGUGUGUGUGUGUGUACCACAUCUUCUUUACCUAUUCACCUCUCAAUGGAAUGUAGGUUGCUUCCAUUUCUUGGCUAUUGUAAAUAGUGCUGCUAUGAACACUGGGAUGCAUGCAUCUUUUUAAAAUAGAGUUUCUUCUGGUUAUAUGCCCAGAAGUGGGAUUGUUGGAUCCUAUGGCAACUCUACUUGUAAUUUUUUGAGGAACCUCCAUGCUGUUCCCCAUUGUGGCUACACCAGUUUACAUUCCUACCUGCAGUGUGGGAGGGUUCCCUUUUUUCCAUGCCCCCUCCAGCAUUUAUUAUGUGUAGACGUUUUUAAUGAUGGCCAUUCGGAUCAGUGUGAGGU